AGCGAACGCUGGCGGCAGGCCUAACACAUGCAAGUCGAACGAAGUCUUCGGACUUAGUGGCGGACGGGUGAGUAACACGUGGGAACGUGCCCUUUGGUACGGAAUAACUCAGGGAAACUUGAGCUAAUACCGUAUGUGCCCUUCGGGGGAAAGAUUUAUCGCCAUUGGAGCGGCCCGCGUCUGAUUAGCUAGUUGGUGAGGUAAAGUCUCACCAAGGCGACGAUCAGUAGCUGGUCUGAGAGGAUGAUCAGCCACAUUGGGACUGAGACACGGCCCAAACUCCUACGGGAGGCAGCAGUGGGGAAUCUUGCGCAAUGGGCGAAAGCCUGACGCAGCCAUGCCGCGUGAAUGAUGAAGGUCUUAGGAUUGUAAAAUUCUUUCACCGGGGACGAUAAUGACGGUACCCGGAGAAGAAGCCCCGGCUAACUUCGUGCCAGCCGCCGCGGUAAGAC
rnacentral:rRNA from 1 species